UGAGGAAUAUUGGUCAAUGGGCGUGAGCCUGAACCAGCCAAGUCGCGUGAGGGAAGACUGCCCUAUGGGUUGUAAACCUCUUUUGUCGGGGAGCAAAGCUGCCACGUGUGGCGGUUUGAGAGUACCCGAAGAAAAAGCAUCGGCUAACUCCGUGCCAGCAGCCGCGGUAAUACGGAGGAUGCGAGCGUUAUCCGGAUUUAUUGGGUUUAAAGGGUGCGUAGGCGGACGAUCAAGUCAGCGGUCAAAUGUCGGGGCUUAACCCCGGCCUGCCGUUGAAACUGGUUGUCUUGAGUGAGCGAGAGGUAUGCGGAAUGCGUGGUGUAGCGGUGAAAUGCAUAGAUAUCACGCAGAACCCCGAUUGCGAAGGCAGCAUACCGGUGCUCAACUGACGCUGAUGCACGAAAGCGUGGGGAUCAAACAGGAUUAGAUACC
rnacentral:rRNA from 1 species